rnacentral:rRNA from 1 species
UACGGGAGGCAGCAGUGGGGAAUAUUGCACAAUGGGCGCAAGCCUGAUGCAGCCAUGCCGCGUGUAUGAAGAAGGCCUUCGGGUUGUAAAGUACUUUCAGUCGUGAGGAAGGUGUUAAGGUUAAUAACCUUAGCAAUUGACGUUAGCGACAGAAGAAGCACCGGCUAACUCCGUGCCAGCAGCCGCGGUAAUACGGAGGGUGCGAGCGUUAAUCGGAAUUACUGGGCGUAAAGGGCACGCAGGCGGUUAAUUAAGUUGGAUGUGAAAUCCCCGGGCUUAACCUGGGAAUGGCAUUCAAGACUGGUUAGCUAGAGUCUUGUAGAGGGGGUAGAAUUCCAUGUGUAGCGGUGAAAUGCGUAGAGAUGUGGAGGAAUACCGGUGGCGAAGGCGGCCCCUGGGACAAGACUGACGCUCAUGUGCGAAAGCGUGGGGAGCAAACAGGAUUUAGAUACC